rnacentral:rRNA from 1 species
UUGCCAUCAGGUAAUGCUGGGGACUCUAAAGGAACUGCCUACGCAAGUAGUGAGGAAGGCGGGGAUGACGUCAAAUCAGCACGGCCCUUACGUCCAGGGCUACACACGUGCUACAAUGGCCGAUACAGAGGGCAGCUACCUGGUGACAGGAUGCAAAUCUCCAAAGUCGGUCUCAGUUCGGAUCGGAGUCUGCAACCCGACUCCGUGAAGUUGGAUUCGCUAGUAAUCGCGCAUCAGCCAUGGCGCGGUGAAUACGUUCCCGGGCCUU